UUCUCGCGUUACCGAGCAACGACGAACGCCAUGAGCGAGCUCGCUUGUGAUCGGGCUAGCGUUAGCUAGGUGGUUAGCUCCCCCGAACAUGGACGAAGACGUAGACCUGGACGAACUGCUGGACGAAGUCGAACAAAAGUUCUGUGGCAACGUCUCCGUGUCGUCGUUGGCUCGCGGGGACCCGGGCGAGGCGGGAGAAUGCGGGCGAGACAACGCAGGAGUAAGAAAACACAGGACGACGGGCCCCGAGCCGCCGGCGAGCAGCGCCACAGACGACAUCGAUGCUCUUCUGGAAGAACUCCUGGAGGACGACUUCCCUCAGCUCAAGAGGGAAGCGUUUCCUGAAGGACACUUGGUGGUGGAGAAGAAGCCUUCGGCUCAGUCUGGAGGGAGAAAGUGCUGCCCCGUCUUCGUCGGCGGAAGCUCCGUCCCGAGUGGCGUUGGCACGGCAACGUCCAAGAGGUCAUGUGACCAGCUGAGGUGCACGUCCUGCGACUUCCGCGUACUGACGUUUGACGACCGCGCGUGGGACUCGUCCUGCGACUACCUGUUCCUCAGGAACAACGCCCCUGACCGGGAGAAGCUGGGGGCCCGGCUGAGGAGGAGCGGGGGCUCUCGGGCCUUUGCCUGCCAGUGCAGCUGGUUCUCAGCCGACGGGCCGACGGACCUCAGGGAGCGGCCUGGGCUCCGGUGGGUCUGUGGGAAGCACCAGGCCUGAGGCCAGAGAGUCUGAAACGUCCCACGGGUCAGUGAACGCCCCUCUGGUGAAAACUGACUGAUGACGCUCUGCCAGGCAUGAGCUCCAUCAAUCAUCACGUCACCUGACGAUGAGAGAGUGAACAGAGAAGAAGAGUGUGACACUGAUUCAAAAACACACACGUGUGUUCAUUGAAGCUUUGAAUGAGCUGUUCAGCCACGUUUUCAAUCCGAUUCGUUUCAUUAAACUUAUCAGCCCGAUUUUUCCCUCCAAGAUGAAGCUGAAGUAAUGAACCUUGUAAUGAUGCCGAAUUGAAGAAGUAAAAGUUGUAUUAUUAAUAGGGCCGGGACUCGAUUAAAAAUAUUAAUCGAAUUAAUUAGAGGCUUUGUAAUUAAUUAAUUGAAAUUUAUUGCAUUUUAAUUGCAUAAAUAUUUGACCUGAGAACAGUGAGAAGUAUUUUUUUUCACAUGGAUUUUUAUUUUUGUUCAACCAAUUCCAGGAGACAAGUGUAGAAACAGCAUAUUUAGAAAUAUAGUACUUUCAGAAAUUCAAGUAGCCUAUAGGUAAGUAGACCUUCUUUAAACUAUGUUUUUUUAAGUAGACCAAUACUUUCAAGUACAUUCAGAACAUUGGUUAUUUUUUCAGACGUGGACUUAGUUACCCUGGUCCUUAAACCAGUCAUCUGGUGCAGUGUGGGUUGGGUGUGGGUCCUUGUACGUCCACGCUAGCUGCUAAUUGUGUUGCGUUGAGGUGAUACUUGAGGCUCGAUGUGAAUUCCUUGUUGCACAGCUUGCACACAACCACGCUCUUAUCGACGCUUCCAUCCGUGUGUUUAUUAUAAGAAGAUUUCCCAUUCACGGGGCCACCCGACACGGUCUCGUCAGCUUCUUCGUUCAUGUUCACUGUGGUUUGUUGUUGUCUGAAGUCAUGAACGCUAGUUGGUGCUCCAGUAUAAUCGGUCCCCCCGAAACUCAUCCAGAGAGAAACGUUCCGCGGUGCAAAAAUAAGUGUAAAAAUGCGUAAAAAAUGUUUAAUGUGUUAUUUUUUGUGUAAUUAAUUCAUCUUAAUUCACAUUGUAAUUAAUUAAUCGUAAUUAACGCGCUAAAGUCCCGGCCCUAAUUAUUAACUACAAUAUGGGUGCAUAGCGCUAAAAAUGUUGUGUGGUUUAAAGAGCAAAAAAGCCGGAAAACUUAUUGAUUUUGACUGAAUCUACUCUGGAUAUUCAUGGUCCUCAGAGGAUCCUCUGGGUUACACAUUAUAAAUGUGUACUGCGUAUUUAGUUGAUUUUGUUUGUGUUUGUGGCCUAAAGUCUUCUUUCGUUGUCUUUUUUUUGUACGUCAAUUGAAUAAAAAGAGAUCGUAUUGUGGUUUUACGACAUACUUAAUACAUCUUUUUUCACUUGUGUCCUGGUCACUAGU